rnacentral:lncRNA from 1 species
UUGGAAAAAAAAAAUUUAAACCUAGACCUAAACUCUAUAUAUAGACUAAGACCUAUACAUCCUAAAGGGGGACGAACACCUAAAAAAACAUCUGAUCCACCGCACCAUCCUUGAUCCCCAACAAACCGCCAAGGACGCUAUUAAAGAUGAAAACAAAGCUACCAUUUGAAUAAAAAUCUUGAGACAUCAUUAUUCAAUGGGAAUUUUGGGGAAAUUAGCACAAAUCAUACUACUUUGUUAAGUCUUGGAUCAUUUUAAAUCACUGAGGAAAGCUUCGGAGGAAAAGGUAGUAGUUAGGCGUUGCUUUAAAGGUUCAACGAAAAGGAAUAAUACGACUCCAGUCCUUGAUGAUUCGUGUGGUUGUUUUUUUGGAAAUCAGAAGAAUGGAAGGUGUAACAUUAACGAGAUCUAAGCGACGAAGAUGUCUCGGGACUGUCCGUUCUAUCGCUUGAGUUUUUCCAGUUUCGGCUCUGUUCGUUCAAUCAUUUAGCAUUUUCAAAUUAUAAAUCAAUCAAAUUUCAGGUUUUCUUGAGGUUUAUGUCCCCUCUCUUGCUAUCUUAGCUUAAUUUCAUGAAUUCUGUAAUGUGUAAAUCUAUUUAGAUUUAAUAUUUCGUUUCUUUGCUCGUUCCCUAGCAGUAUUUGGUUGCUAUUUUUUGUCUUUUUGUUGUUAUUGUUGGUCUGUUUUUGUUCAAUCUAUAUUAGGGUGGUUUAAUGGUUGAAACUAAUUUGUAGUUCCUGUCAUAUUGUCCCCAAAUUUGUGAUAGUUGUAGUUAAGUGAAAUCAAGAUUUAGAGUUAAAUCUAUUUAGGU